rnacentral:rRNA from 1 species
CAAGUCGAGCGGCAGCGCGGGGCAACCUGGCGGCGAGCGGCGAACGGGUGAGUAAUGCAUCGGAACAUGUCCAUGUCGUGGGGGAUAGCCCGGCGAAAGCCGGAUUAAUACCGCAUACGCCCGAGAGGGGAAAGUGGGGGACCGCAAGGCCUCACGCGAUUGGGUUGGCCGAUGUCCGAUUAGCUAGUUGGUGGGGUAAAGGCUUACCAAGGCGAUGAUCGGUAGCUGGUCUGAGAGGAUGAUCAGCCACACUGGGACUGAGACACGGCCCAGACUCCUACGGGAGGCAGCAGUGGGGAAUUUUGGACAAUGGGGGCAACCCUGAUCCAGCCAUUCCGCGUGAGUGAAGAAGGCCUUCGGGUUGUAAAGCUCUUUUGUCCGGAACGAAACGGUUACGGUGAACACCCGUGACUACUGACGGUACCGGAAGAAUAAGCACCGGCUAACUACGUGCCAGCAGCCGCGGUAAUACGUAGGGUGCGAGCGUUAAUCGGAAUUACUGGGCGUAAAGCGUGCGCAGGCGGUUUUGUAAGCCAGAUGUGAAAUCCCCGGGCUCAACCUGGGAAUGGCAUUUGGGACUGCAAGGCUGGAGUGCGGCAGAGGAGACUGGAAUUCCUGGUGUAGCAGUGAAAUGCGUAGAUAUCAGGAGGAAUACCGAUGGCGAAGGCAGGUCUCUGGGCUGACACUGACGCUCAUGCACGAAAGCGUGGGGAGCAAACAGGAUUAGAUACCCUGGUAGUCCACGCCCUAAACGAUGUCGACUGGUUGUUGGGGGUUUGACACUCUCAGUAACGAAGCUAACGCGUGAAGUCGACCGCCUGGGGAGUACGGCCGCAAGGUUAAAACUCAAAGGAAUUGACGGGGACCCGCACAAGCGGUGGAUUAUGUGGAUUAAUUCGAUGCAACGCGAAAAACCUUACCUACCCUUGACAUGUCC